rnacentral:rRNA from 1 species
UGGGGAAUCUUGCGCAAUGGGCGAAAGCCUGACGCAGCCAUGCCGCGUGAGUGAUGAAGGCCUUAGGGUUGUAAAACUCUUUCACCGGGGACGAUAAUGACGGUACCCGGAGAAGAAGCCCCGGCUAACUUCGUGCCAGCAGCCGCGGUAAUACGAAGGGGGCUAGCGUUGCUCGGAAUUACUGGGCGUAAAGGGCGCGUAGGCGGAUCAGCAAGUUGGGGGUGAAAGCCCGGGGCUCAACCUCGGAAUUGCCUUCAAAACUGCUGAUCUAGAGUACGGGAGAGGUGUGUGGAACUCCGAGUGUAGAGGUGAAAUUCGUAGAUAUUCGGAAGAACACCAGUGGCGAAGGCGACACACUGGCCCGUUACUGGCGCUGAGGCGCGAAAGCGUGGGGAGCAAACAGGAUUAGAUACCCUGGUAGUCCACGCUGUAAACGAUGAUUGCUAGUUGUCGGCAGGCAUGCCUGUCGGUGACGCAGCUAACGCAUUAAGCAAUCCGCCUGGGGAGUACGGUCGCAAGAUUAAAAACUCAAAUGAAUUGACGGGGUC